rnacentral:piRNA from 1 species
UUUGACAUUAGAACAUUUGCCGAAUGGGU